rnacentral:rRNA from 1 species
GUACGAAGGGGGCUAGCGUUGCUCGGAAUCACUGGGCGUAAAGCGCACGUAGGCGGAUCGUUAAGUCAGGGGUGAAAUCCUGGAGCUCAACUCCAGAACUGCCUUUGAUACUGGCGACCUUGAGUUCGGGAGAGGUGAGUGGAACUGCGAGUGUAGAGGUGAAAUUCGUAGAUAUUCGCAAGAACACCAGUGGCGAAGGCGGCUCACUGGCCCGAUACUGACGCUGAGGUGCGAAAGCGUGGGGAGCAAACAGGG